UAAUUUUCCCAUGGCAUACUGCUCAGUAACACGUGAUCAACUUACCCUAAAGAGGAAAAUAACCUCGGGAAACUGAGGAUAAUAUUCCGUAGUUGAGGAUGCCUGGAAGGGUUUCUCAACCAAAGCACAACCCAAAUGGGGGUUGGAGCGCUUUAGGAUAGGAUCGCGCCCGAUUAUGGCUGUUGGUGAGGUAAUGGCUCACCAAACCUAUUAUCGGUAAGGGCCGUGAGAGCGGGAGCCCUGAGAUGGGUACUGAGACAAGGACCCAGGUCUUACGAGACGCAGCAGGCGCGAAAUCUUCACAAUGCACGAAAGUGUGAUGAGGUUACCCGGAGUGCUACAAAGUAGCUGUGGUAGGUGAGUAAGAUUCCCUACUAGGAAGGAGAGGGCAAGGCUGGUGCCAGCCGCCGCGGUAAAACCAGCUCUUCAAGUGGUCGGGAUUUUUAUUGGGCUUAAAGUGUCCGUAGCCGGUAUAUUAAGUUCCUGGUUAAAUCUGAUAGCUUAACUAUCUGUUGGCUAGGAAUACUACUAUACUAGGGGGCGGGAGAGGUUUGAGGUACUCCAGGGGUAGCGGUGAAAUGCGAUAAUCCUUGGGGGACCACCAGUGGCGAAGGCGUCAGACUGGAACGCGCCCGACGGUGAGGGACGAAAGCCAGGGGAGCGAACCGGAUUAGAUACCCGGGUAGUCCUGGCCGUAAACGAUGCGUGCUAGGUGUUGGUAUGGCUAUGAGCCGUAUCAGUGCCGUAGGGAAACCGAUAAGCGCGCCGCCUGGGGAGUACGGUCGCAAGACUGAAACUUAAAGGAAUUGGCGGGGGAGCACCACAAGGGGUGAAGCCUGCGGUUCAAUUGGAUUCAACGCCGGGAAGGG
rnacentral:rRNA from 1 species